rnacentral:rRNA from 1 species
UACGGAGGGUGCAAGCGUUUAUCCGGAUUUACCGUGGUUAAAGGGUGCGUAGGUGGGUUGGUAAGUCAGUGGUGAAAUACUUUCGCUUAACGAAGGAACUGCCAUUGAUACUACCAGUCUUGAAUACAGUGGAGGUAGGCGGAAUGCGUCAUGUAGCGGUGAAAUGCUUAGAUAUGACGCAGAACACCAAUUGCGAAGGCAGCUUGCUACACUGUUAUUGACACUGAGGCACGAAAGCGUGGGGAUCAAACAGG